ACUGUAUUCUGGAGCCAAAGCUAUGAGGUACAACCUAGAAUUCUGCACAAGGGUUACGGCAGGAAUUCAGUGCCGCAUUUAUAAAAUCUCUCAUUUGUCCCAAAACAGAAUGUUUUGAGCAGAGCAGUAAGUCACUGAAACACCUGUUUUUAAAUUAAGAAAAGAAAAAUCUCUAAGUCUAGCAAGUCCAGUGAGUAACAUGAACCCAGUCAGCGAGGCGAAGGCCAGCACUUGUGCUCAGGUCUUCCAGAAUCUUCCAACAGCCCCUCCGAUCCAGUCGCUCGGCAGAGCCAACACAGAAAAUGCACUGAGAGGACAAGGUGCAGCUCAGCAAGGAGCUGCCUCAGAACAGGUCUCACGCGUCCACAUCUGUCCCGUCCAAACUUCAGUUUAAAUCUUGUGGCUUGGCCUGUGCCCUGGAGGAUGAGUAGAUGUAGGAGGACUCACCUUGCGCCCACAGUGACGACAUAUUUAAAGAUCGCACUUGUUCUGCAACUCACUUCUCAUGGAACCCAUCAGGCCUGACAUGUACCAGCUUCCGUCCCCUGGGAUGACUGGGAUAGACGACACAGGAGCAGGGGAACUAUCAAGUUCUCAUACUCCAUCAAUCAGAGCUGCAGGACU